CCUACGGGAGGCAGCAGUGGGGAAUAUUGCACAAUGGGGGAAACCCUGAUGCAGCGACGCCGCGUGAGUGAAGAAGUACUUCGUUAUGUAAAGCUCUAUCAGCAUGGAAGAAAAUGACGGUACUUGAGUAAGAAUCCCCGGCUAACUACGUGCCAGCAGCCGCGGUAAUACGUAGGGGGCAAGCGUUAUCCGGAAUUACUGGGGGUAAAGGGAGCGUAGGCGGCAGUGCAAGUCGGGAGUGAAAGGCGGGGGUUCAACCCCCGGACUGCUCUGGAGACUGACCGGCUGGAGUGCAGGAGAGGUAAGUGGAAUUCCUAGUGUAGCGGUGAAAUGCGUAGAUAUUAGGAGGAACACCAGUGGCGAAGGCGGCUUACUGGACUGUAACUGACGUUGAGGCUCGAAAGCGUGGGGAGCAAACAGGAUUAGAUACCCUAGUAGUC
rnacentral:rRNA from 1 species